rnacentral:rRNA from 1 species
GUGGGGAAUCUUCCGCAAUGGACGAAAGUCUGACGGAGCAACGCCGCGUGAGUGAAGAAGGUUUUCGGAUCGUAAAGCUCUUUCGUCAGGGACGAACGUAUUUCUUGUAAAUAAUGAGAGAUAGUGACGGUACCUGAAUAAGAAGCCACGGCUAACUACGUGCCAGCAGCCGCGGUAAUACGUAGGUGGCAAGCGUUGUCCGGAAUUAUUGGGCGUAAAGCGCGCGCAGGCGGGAUAUCAAGUCUGUCUUAAAAGUGCGAGGCUCAACCUCGUGAGGGGACAGAAACUGGUAUUCUUGAGUGUCGGAGAGGAAAGUGGAAUUCCAAGUGUAGCGGUGAAAUGCGUAGAGAUUUGGAAGAACACCAGUGGCGAAGGCGACUUUCUGGACGAUGUCUGACGCUGAGGCGCGAAAGCUAGGGGAGCGAACGGGAUUAGAAACCCCAGUAGUCC